rnacentral:tRNA from 1 species
GCCCCGGUAGCUCAGUGGACAGAGCAGGAUCCUUCUAAGGUCUUGGCCGCAGGUUCGAACCCUGCCCGGGGCGCUA